rnacentral:rRNA from 1 species
UACGUAGGUGACAAGCGUUGUCCGGAUUUACUGGGCGUAAAGAGCGCGCAGGCGGUCGUUCAAGUCGAGUGUGAAAGCCCCCGGCUCAACUGGGGAGGGUCACUCGAUACUGAUCGACUCGAAGGCAGGAGAGGGAAGUGGAAUUCCCGGUGUAGUGGUGAAAUGCGCAGAUAUCGGGAGGAACACCGGUGGCGAAGGCGGUUCUCUGGGCCUUACCUGACGCUGAGGAGCGAAAGCGUGGGGAGCGAACAGG